CAUGAAGUCGGAAUUGCUAGUAAUCGCGGAUCAGCAUGCCGCGGUGAAUACGUUCCCGGGCCUCGUACACACCGCCCGUCACACCAUGGGAGCCGGUAAUACCCGAAGUCAGUAGUCCAACCUCGUGAGGACGCUGCCGAAGGUAGGAUUGGCGACUGGGGUGAAGUCGUAACAAGGUACC
rnacentral:rRNA from 1 species